GGAAUAUUGCACAAUGGGGGGAACCCUGAUGCAGCGACGCCGCGUGGAGGAAGAAGGUAUUCGUAUUGUAAACUCCUGUCGUGUGGGACGAAGAAUGACGGUACCACACAAGAAAGCACCGGCUAACUACGUGCCAGCAGCCGCGGUAAAACGUAGGGUGCGAGCGUUGUCCGGAAUUACUGGGUGUAAAGGGAGCGCAGGCGGUCAUUUAAGUUGGGUGUCAAAACUACGGGCUCAACCCGUACCCGCACUCAAAACUGAGUGACUUGAGUGGAGCAGAGGUAGGCGGAAUUUCCGGUGUAGCGGUGGAAUGCGUAGAUAUCGGAAGGAACACCAGUGGCGAAGGCGGCCUACUGGGCUUUAACUGACGCUGAGGCUCGAAAGCAUGGGUAGCAAACA
rnacentral:rRNA from 1 species